AAUAAUUAAAAUUAAGCGUCUAAAUAAAAAUUUGAAACUUAACAGCCAAUAGUGAUUUUGGGGUAUUGAUCUUAGAAAUUAGGGCAGAUGGCGGGAGCGACGACAUCAUCUUGUAUCUUCUGUCAGAUUGCCUGCAAUUCCACCACACUUCUUUACUCUGAUGACAAGGUUGUCGCAUUUCAAGACAUCAAGCCUGCUGCUUUCAGGCAUUACUUGGUGAUUCCAGUCAAGCACAUUCCGACUGUCAGGGACCUCCAGGGGAGAGAAGAAGAUUACACUUUGGUAAGACAUAUGUUAACUGUGGGACAAACACUGUUACACCGGGAUGCUCCUCAAUCGAAACAGUACAGAUUUGGUUUUCAUCAGCCUCCUUUAAAUAGUGUUGACCAUCUACACCUUCACUGUUUGGCAUUACCCUUCAUACCCAGAUGGAAACGUGUAAAAUACAUGUCUUUAGGACCACUUGGAUUUAUUGAAGCUGAAAAGUUGCUAGAGAAGAUAAAGCCUGCAUAACCAGUUAUUGCUUAGGGUGCGCAUCCAAUUCUAAUAUGACACUGCUGUAACCUACACUCUUCAUUGGUACUCCUGCUUCAGAGUUUUGGAUAAUUACUUUGUUGCUGAUAUGAAGGUCUAUGUCCCCUGCUUCUCUACAUUUAUUUGGUGAUCAGCAACAUUAACCGACGAGCUAUUGUGGUCACCCAUCCUAUUACAUAGUAAAUAAAAAAGGCUAAUAUUAUCAGCUUCCCUCCAACUUCUAUACAUGUGGUAUCUUCAUUAACAUCUAAACUCUCUUUUUACACUGCCACUUUAGGUACAUAGAUAGACUCAUUUACCUGAAGCUUAUUUCCAAAAUAGUUGGAAAGAAGCACUCUUAGCUGAAGGUAAUAUGAUCUCUGGAACAAAAUAAUUGAUUCUGUAAGUGCAAGACGUAAUGUGGUUCAGGGACAGCUAAUUUAGGAGAAGCAGAGGGCCUAGAUAUGCUUUCAGCUGGACUUGCUACGUUGGAGUUAUUUGCAGAAUAGUAUGAAUUUCCGGAACCGUAAUCUUUCAAAACGCGCCUUCCAUUAGAGGGGAUAAUCAGUGUGGUCAAAUGGAGAUCAAGUUCUGAGUGAUGACAGAUUCUUACUAUUAAUUUGCCUCUUUUUCUUGUGUGAUUGUACUGUUGGGUUGUGAUGUCAUUGGGCUUAUUUCGGAAUAGAAGUACAUAAACGGAGGAAAAUAUAUCUUUUUUGUGAAAAUAACUUACAGCAUCUCUAAUGACAUAGUCAUAAAUGCCAAUAUGGUGAGCCUUCAGAAAUCAGAACCAAUAUAGCACAAACUGCUCAAAUAUGGUGCAAUUAAAUUGAAGAACUGAUGCAAAUCCUUUAAAGUGCUCCGUUUCAUAGUUUGAUAUUGUUAUGCUAUCAUCUCUAGUAUUGAAGCCUUUUGGUGUUAGUAUUUUAUAAAGGCUAAGUGGUCCUCUGUUGGGUGGUGCUACAUUCUAUCUAGAGCAGGGGUAGCCAAUGAAAAGGUGAGUGAAGAAGUGAGACUUGAAUGCUCACACGUGCAUGCACUCAUUGGGGACCUAUUUAUUGUGGUUUCUUGGAGCUAUUAUUGUAUUUGUAAUCUGGUUCAGGACACUUUCAAGAUAUAUUCUUAGUUAUUAGGUUUCAUCUUAUCUUGUACCAUGGAUUUACUAAUAGUAAACUAGUUUCACUUAAUUAAUCAUAAAAGUCUUAUUCGGAUGGAGUUUUUUACGCAGCUAGAAUCCAGAAGGCUGCAUGCCUUAGUUUCAGAUUUAUGAUUGAGAAGAACAAAUAGCAAUAGCAUUGGGGCGUGGGAUGUAUUUUAGUGGAAAUAAACUUUCAAAUUCGCAGGAAAAAAAUCCAGUUUUUGAAAGAAUUGAUUUUUGUGAUGCGUACUGGAUUGUGAUAAUGACUUGUCAACUUUCAAAGUAUUCAGUAGAUUUGACUUUAGAAACUUGGUCCACAUAAUUAUUGGCUCUAGUAGGUAUUGAACAUUCAACCGAAGUCCCUGUUUUUAAUCCUUGAAUCAUGGCCAUCGAGUUGAGGAAUGGAUUUAAUAUGCACCAUCAUUAGCUAGCCAUACCACAUAUCCUAUUGUUUAUUCUGCCAGACAGAAUGUGACAAAACUUAGUAUUAUAAGAUAGGUGUACCAUCCAUUAGGUAAAGCACUUUGCUAUACAAAAUUCAGUUAAAGCUAGCUAUGUUUAUAGGUCUGUUGGCCAACAAGAGAGAACUAUUUGGAAAGAUGAGCAUUAACAAUUGUACACAGAAAAAGGAUGAGCAUAAACAUGAUUACCAUAAAUUAAAGAGGGAAGAGGCAGAUAAUAAUCGGUAGAUGGAAAUAUAGAGUAUUGCAUAUAUAUAAUUGGCACUGUUUGCUAACAUUGUGUAGCUGGCUCUUAAUGGACCUUUCUUUUCUUCCUUAAAGUAUGGCAGCCAUGAUUUGCAUGAAAUUCCCAAGGUAUGGUUGAUGUUUAAGACGUCCUUUUCAAGCAUGGCUUUAUAUAUGGUUGUGGGUUCUCAAGUACAGCUGUAUAAUAUGUAUUUAUAAGAAAAUAUAGUCACUGAUCUUAUGAAAAGAAAGUAUUGUAUACGUAUUUGUUUGAUCGAAUAUCUAUGCUUGACGACCUGCCCGUGAAGGCUUAUCAUCAAAUGCAAGGAAGCGUGUGAUGCUUGCUUCAUCUUUGGAAAAAAAUGUCUUACAAUUGAAAAACAAAUCCAACAAUGAUUUUUAGGUGCCUAUUUAUCAAGGAUAUGUAGAUCUGUUCUUGAGAUUUUAACUUUUCAAAUAUAAGCUUGAGCUUGCUAUAGGUUAGUGUUUCUUUAGGUAUAAAAUUUAAAUCUAAGUAUUUCCUACUAUUAAUAAAUCUUUGUAGAAAAUAGAGUUAGAUAUGUGCUUGUUCAUACUUCUCCAUUGCUUUUGUACUAAAAUCUUUCUUGAAAUUGUCACUUGCAAAAUUUAGACUUCUAAAUUAAUUUAAGUCUAAUAUUAGUAAGCAGAGUUCGCAUAUGAAUUGCUUAUGCGAGCAAGCUUUCCCAAUAAGUGACCAUUGACAAUAUCUGGUCAGCCUUGAGUUCUCAUUGUUUUUUUCUUAAAGCUCCAUGUAGAAACGGGGACGAAUAUAAUGAGAGUGAUUAAUCAGUAUUUGAGAGAGGCUCUUGCCAGAACUAAAGUGGUGCAUUUAGUUUUGAGGGUCACAUGCGGGACUUAUCUCAUUGCUGCUAGGGGCAGACUUGCUUACGAUCGAAAAUUUGAUCACUUGAUUAGCAGUUGCCAUACUAACUAGUAAUAACAGAUGCCAUUAAGCAUAGUCCUCUUUUUCCCUUUGCUGGUCUUAUCUAAUUGUUGAUAUUUUUAGGGAAUAUCUUGAUGAGGCAGUUAGGUAUGGGGAGAAAGGGUAACUUCUUGUCUGAAUUGACCAAUAGGUUGGGUCGGCAGUUCUGAGCCUUCGUUUCUUUAGUUAGCUACCGCGGGCUCACGAGAAUCUGAACCCGAAUCAAAAAAAUUAAAGAGAUGGGAUGUGGGAACAGCCUAAUCCUUUAGGGUUUCACUUCAGUCUGAUAUUUGGGUCCAUUGAGAACUGCCAUUUUGGCACGGAGUACAGUUCUUUGCCAGUUCAUCCUUUCUCAUGCCACUAUUUCUGCCAAACUUAUAUGCCUCGGAAAACUCUUCCUAGAGUUCGUAGUAUUAAUGGGUUCUGUCCAUGUACGCAUUUUCUAACAUUAUCCUAAGUUAUAUAUGUGUCGGUAUUUAGAAGGGUGUUCAGUGUUCACCAUAACCCUCACGCGUGCCUUUAUAACUAUGAUAGAUCAUCUAUGAAGUGAAUAUCAUCACGGUGGGUGAUGAGAUAUCUGUAGACAAUCAUUUAGCUACUCCUAUAGAUGUCUAUUUCAGGGGGCCCUUGAGGCAUGAAAGCUUAUCUUAUUGAACUCAAGAUUUGGAACGAAAAUUUGUUGAGAAAAUGCUGCUUUAAGCAGUUUGACAGCUAUUUGUUUGCUCUAAAAUAGUGACAGCUUGUAUGGAUGAGUUCAUAUCCUUUGCAUUGUAAAAAACUGAAAGCUAACACUUUCUGCGACGUUAAAUGGUAUUACUUUUAAUUCA